GCAAGUCGAACGAUGAAGCCUUUCGGGGUGGAUUAGUGGCGAACGGGUGAGUAACACGUGGGCAAUCUGCCCUUCACUCUGGGACAAGCCCUGGAAACGGGGUCUAAUACCGGAUAACACUCUGUCCUGCAUGGGACGGGGUUAAAAGCUCCGGCGGUGAAGGAUGAGCCCGCGGCCUAUCAGCUUGUUGGUGGGGUAAUGGCCUACCAAGGCGACGACGGGUAGCCGGCCUGAGAGGGCGACCGGCCACACUGGGACUGAGACACGGCCCAGACUCCUACGGGAGGCAGCAGUGGGGAAUAUUGCACAAUGGGCGAAAGCCUGAUGCAGCGACGCCGCGUGAGGGAUGACGGCCUUCGGGUUGUAAACCUCUUUCAGCAGGGAAGAAGCGAAAGUGACGGUACCUGCAGAAGAAGCGCCGGCUAACUACGUGCCAGCAGCCGCGGUAAUACGUAGGGCGCAAGCGUUGUCCGGAAUUAUUGGGCGUAAAGAGCUCGUAGGCGGCUUGUCACGUCGGAUGUGAAAGCCCGGGGCUUAACCCCGGGUCUGCAUUCGAUACGGGCUAGCUAGAGUGUGGUAGGGGAGAUCGGAAUUCCUGGUGUAGCGGUGAAAUGCGCAGAUAUCAGGAGGAACACCGGUGGCGAAGGCGGAUCUCUGGGCCAUUACUGACGCUGAGGAGCGAAAGCGUGGGGAGCGAACAGGAUUAGAUACCCUGGUAGUCCACGC
rnacentral:rRNA from 1 species